rnacentral:rRNA from 1 species
AUACGUAGGUGACAAGCGUUAUCCGGAUUUACUGGGCGUAAAGGGCGUGUAGGCGGUCUUGCAAGUCAGAAGUGAAAUUCCUGAGCUCAACUCGGGCGCUGCUUCUGAAACUGCAGGACUUGAGUGCUGGAGGGGAUAGCGGAAUCCCUAGUGGAGCGGUAAAAUGCGCAGAUAUUAGGAAGAACACCGGUGGCGAAGGCGGCUAUCUGGACAGUAACUGACGCUGAGGCGCGAAAGCGUGGGGAGCAAACAGGAUUAGAUACCCUGGUAGUCCACGCUGUAAACGAUGAUUACUAGGUGUGGGGGGACUGACCCCUUCCGUGCCGCAGUUAACACAAUAAGUAUUCCGCCUGGGGAGUACGGCCGCAAGGUUGAAACUUAAAGGAAUUGACGGGG